AGGCCAGACUCCUACGGGAGGCAGCAGUGGGGGAUAUUGCACAAUGGGGGGAACCCUGAUGCAGCGACGCCGCGUGGGUGAAGAAGCGCCUCGGCGCGUAAAGCCCUGUCAGCAGGGAAGAAAAUGACGGUACCUGAAGAAGAAGCCCCGGCUAACUACGUGCCAGCAGCCGCGGUAAUACGUAGGGGGCAAGCGUUAUCCGGAUUCACUGGGUGUAAAGGGAGCGUAGACGGCGACGCAAGUCUGGAGUGAAAGCCCGGGGCCCAACCCCGGGACUGCUCUGGAAACUGCGUCGCUGGAGUACGGGAGGGGCAGGCGGAAUUCCUGGUGUAGCGGUGAAAUGCGUAGAUAUCAGGAGGAACACCGGCGGCGAAGGCGGCCUGCUGGACCGCGACUGACGUUGAGGCUCGAAGGCGUGGGGAGCGAACAGGAUUAGAUACCCCCGUA
rnacentral:rRNA from 1 species